UACGGGGGGUGCGAGCGUUGUCCGGAAUCACUGGGCGUAAAGGGCGCGUAGGUGGCGUCGUAAGUCUGUGGUGAAAGCCCGGAGCUCAACUCCGGGUCUGCCGCGGAUACUGCGAGGCUUGAGUGCUGUAGAGGGGGGUAGAAUGCCGGGUGCAGCGGUGGAAUGCGUAGAGAUGCGGAGGAACACCGAUGGCGAAGGCAGCCCCCUGGGCUGACACUGACGCUCAGGCACGAAAGCGUGGGGAGCAAACAGG
rnacentral:rRNA from 1 species